rnacentral:rRNA from 1 species
CCAAGGAGUCUAACAUGUGCGCGAGUCGUAGGGUGCUCGCAAAAAUUACACGGAACGAAACCCGAAGGCGAAAUGAAAGUGAAGGUCGGUGGUCUGACCGACCGAGGCGGGAUCCGUCCGGGCGUCGGUUUGUUUUGCGGCGGGUAGUCGGUAGGGGUGGAAGGUUUCGGGGCCGCGAGGCUUCGAUAUCUCUCUCUCUCUCUCUGACUCUCUCGCUCGCGCACGCCGAGUCCGGCGGCGCACCGCCGGCCCGUCUCGACCGCUUCUUGUCGGCGAGGCGGAGCAAGAGCGCACACGUUGGGACCCGAAAGAUGGUGAACUAUGCUCGGGCAGGACGAAGCCAGAGGAAACUCUGGUGGAGGUCCGUAGCGAUUCUGACGUGCAAAUCGAUCGUCGGACCCGAGUAUAGGGGCGAAAGACUAAUCGAACCGUCUA